rnacentral:rRNA from 1 species
CAGCCGUAAACUAUGCGCGUUAGGUGUAUCGGUGACCACGAGUUACCGAGGUGCCGAAGGGAAACCGUGAAACGUGCCGCCUGGGAAGUACGGUCGCAAGGCUGAAACUUAAAGGAAUUGGCGGGGGGAGCACCACAACGGGUGGAGCCUGCGGUUUAAUUGGACUCAACGCCGGAAAUCUCACCGGAUAGGACAGACAUAUGAUAGUCGGGCUGAAGACUCUACUUGAUGAUCUGAGAGGUGGUGCAUGGCGUCAGUGACU